UUAAAUUGUUUAUUAUAUUUUGUGUGAAAAUUUGAAAAAUUUUUAAUGAUAGUAUGAGAUGAAAUAAGAUGAAACAAAACAUUUUCUGAAUCUCUAAACGGGGUCUUGAAUUAGGACAAAAACUUGAAAGAUACGUUUUACCCGAGAUUUUCCUGGAAAAUGAAGACCCUGAAAUUAGAAAGAAAGAAAAGAAAAGAAAAUAUGAUUAUGAAUGUGUGAUUUCAAAUUAGUUGCCUCGUCUUUUCGUAGUCCAAGAUAGACAAGGCUUGACAGCUCGGAGCACGAGGUAGUGAUCAGGGGCAUUUAAGUAAUUUUGCAGACAUGAUAGAUAUCUAGCUCUAGCCCGCCAUUGGUAAAAUUUUAUUAGAUUGAUAUGUCUGUGGGUGCAGCGUGUGUAUCUAUCUUAUGUACAUCAUGAUACAGACAUGAUAUAUAUAUAUUUAUAUAUAUAUUUACUCCUUUUUUUUUAAUUAAUUUGGUCCCCCGCCAUUAUUUAACUAAAAUAGUUCCCAUAAUUCAACUACCCGAACUAACCAACCUGAUUUUCUUUGCUUUGUCCCCUUUGGGUCAAGACAUGAAGGUGCAUGCAUGCAACUAAGCUAGCUUUUUGAAGAAAAUCAUCAAAGUAAUCAUGUCAUGAUUAAUAUAU